UACGUAGGUGGCAAGCGUUGUCCGGAUUUACUGGGCGUAAAGGCUUGUAGGCGGCCAACUAAGUCAGACGUGAAAUCCCUCGGCUUAACCGGGGAACUGCGUCUGAUACUGGAUGGCUUGAGAUUGGGAGAGGGAUGCGGAAUUCCAGGUGUAGCGGUGAAAUGCGUAGAUAUCUGGAGGAACACCGGUGGCGAAGGCGGCAUCCUGGACCAACACUGACGCUGAGGAGCGAAAGCCAGGGGAGCAAACGGGG
rnacentral:rRNA from 1 species